rnacentral:lncRNA from 1 species
UGGGCAGCUAGGAACAGGAGGAUCUUUGAUAGCACCUAUAACAGUCUUUUUGGGACUAUAAUGAGAGCCAUGGUUGAUGCCACUAACUUCAUGAGGGCUAGAGAUUUGAAAGGAUCUUUAAUAGUUAAGGAAAUCUGAGGUCUUAUUAUUGUAGUUUCUGCAUCUCAGAUAUAUUUCUCAUGGGAACCCCCAUUCUUAG